GUUGUUUCAACAAGUAACGUAAAGACAAAAUGGAAAAACGAGGUUUGUGCCUGAGAUCAUGUUGAUGCGAAACUAGGGGUGGCCACCUUGUUCCAGAUCACUGAUCCUGGUGUAAGCCAGCUGCCAUGUCAUGAGGACACUCAACCAGCCCUAAGGAGAGAUCCAUGUGGCAAGAAACUGAGGCCUCCAACUGCAGCCACGUUAUUUUGAUGAUGGGAUGCUGUCAGAGAUAUGACUUCAUUAAACACAAUAGGUCAGGAGACUUGGUCUCAAUAUCCCUGUUUAAAAAGUGUUAUCACAGGGCUUCCCUGGUGGCGCAGUGGUUGGGGGUCCGCCUGCUGAUGCAGGGGACGCAGGUUCGUGCCCUGGCCUGGGAGGAUCCCACAUGCCGCGGAGCGGCUGGACCCAUGAGCCAUGGCCACUGGGCCUGCGCGUCCGGAUCCUGUGCUCCGCAACGGGAGAGGCCACAGAGAGUGGACCCCAACAAGUGUCCCCCUGCCCAGUGUCAUUGGAGCCAAGAGAUCGAGACUGAGUUUGGUUGAGAAGCAAAGGAAACUUUAUAUUUUGAUCAGAGAAUG